GGGUAGGGGAGCGUUCUGUAAGCCUGUGAAGGUGUGUCGUGAGGCAUGCUGGAGGUAUCAGAAGUGCGAAUGCUGACAUAAGUAACGAUAAAGCGGGUGAAAAGCCCGCUCGCCGGAAGACCAAGGGUUCCUGUCCAACGUUAAUCGGGGCAGGGUGAGUCGACCCCUAAGGCGAGGCCGAAAGGCGUAGUCGAUGGGAAACGGGUUAAUAUUCCCGUACUUGGUGUUACUGCGAAGGGGGGACGGAGAAGGCUAUGUUGGCCGGGCGACGGUUGUCCCGGUUUAAGCGUGUAGGUGUGUGUUCCAGGUAAAUCCGGUUCACUUUAACACUGAGGCGUGAUGACGAGGCACUACGGUGCUGAAGCAACAAAUGCCCUGCUUCCAGGAAAAGCCUCUAAGCAUCAGGUAACAUCAAAUCGUACCCCAAACCGACACAGGUGGUCAGGUAGAGAAUACCAAGGCGCUUGAGAGAACUCGGGUGAAGGAACUAGGCAAAAUGGUGCCGUAACUUCGGGAGAAGGCACGCUGACACGUAGGUGAAGUGAUUUACUCAUGGAGCUGAAGUCAGUCGAAGAUACCAGCUGGCUGCAACUGUUUAUUAAAAACACAGCACUGUGCAAACACGAAAGUGGACGUAUACGGUGUGACGCCUGCCCGGUGCCGGAAGGUUAAUUGAUGGGGUCAGCGCAAGCGAAGCUCCUGAUCGAAGCCCCGGUAAACGGCGGCCGUAACUAUAACGGUCCUAAGGUAGCGAAAUUCCUUGUCGGGUAAGUUCCGACCUGCACGAAUGGCGUAAUGAUGGCCAGGCUGUCUCCACCCGAGACUCAGUGAAAUUGAACUCGCUGUGAAGAUGCAGUGUACCCGCGGCAAGACGGAAAGACCCCGUGAACCUUUACUAUAGCUUGACACUGAACAUUGAGCCUUGAUGUGUAG
rnacentral:rRNA from 1 species